UACGAAGGGGGCUAGCGUUGCUCGGAAUCACUGGGCGUAAAGCGCACGUAGGCGGCUUUUUAAGUCAGGGGUGAAAUCCUGGAGCUCAACUCCAGAACUGCCUUUGAUACUGAGAAGCUUGAGUCCGGGAGAGGUGAGUGGAACUCCGAGUGUAGAGGUGAAAUUCGUAGAUAUUCGGAAGAACACCAGUGGCGAAGGCGGCUCACUGGCCCGGUACUGACGCUGAGGUGCGAAAGCGUGGGGAGCAAACAGG
rnacentral:rRNA from 1 species